rnacentral:misc_RNA from 1 species
UACGUAGGGGGCGAGCGUUGUCCGGAAUCAUUGGGCGUAAAGAGCUCGUAGGCGGUUUCGUAAGUCGGCGGUGAAAGCUCGGGACUCAACUCCGAGAGGUCCGUCGAUACUGCGAUGACUUGAGUCCGGUAGAGGAGUGUGGAACUCCUGGUGUAGCGGUGAAAUGCGCAGAUAUCAGGAAGAACACCGGUGGCGAAGGCGGCACUCUGGGCCGGUACUGACGCUGAGGAGCGAAAGCUAGGGGAGCAAACAGG